CCGAUUUAGCUGAGGACAAUGUUGCAGAGAAAGGGCAGCUGAGGGCCACCAGCAGCUGACAUUCACAACAAGUGGGGCAAACAGGUACACCGGCCUCGUGAAGGGAAUGUCAGCCAGGACUCAACCCCAACCACUAAAAGGACAAUGAUGAAAUGCUCAAACUGACUGUCUAAUGGACGGAGUCUCACUCUGUUGCCACGCUGGAAUGCAGUGGCACGAUCUCGGCUCACUGCAACCUCCGACUCUCUGGUUCAAGCGAUUCUCCUGCCUCAGCCUCCUGAAUAGCUAGGAUUACAGGCAUGCGCCACCACGCCCAGCUAAUUUUUCUAGUUUUAGUAGAGACGGGGUUUCACCAUGUUGGCCAGGAUGGUCUCGAUCUCCUGACCUCGUGAUCCGUCCGCCUUGGCCUCCCCAAGUGCUGAGAUUACAGGCGUGAGCCACCGCACCCGGCCUUUUAUUGUACUUUCUUCCUCCUCUCUCUCUUUUACAGCUUUGUUAUGAGUUUUCCCCACAAGCCCAUGUAUUUCUUUGCUCCUGUGGGCAGCGAAAACUUUUGGCCUUGCCUCUGGACAAAUCUAUCAGGGCUGAUAGAUUUUGUCAUUGGUACAGGCCCUCGCUUCUCAUCCACCUCCACUGCCUCUCUUUUUGCUGAUCCAAGGUCCCCAACAUUCUCCCUAGCUGGCAGAGAUCAUCCCUGUUUCCCCAUUAUUCAGAGAAAUUUAGCUUAGUUUUGCUUUAACUUCCAUACCAUCAAAAGUCCUAGGCCCAUCUCUCCCUAAUCAAAGGCUCCAUACAAAAGAGACAUCUGCCCUGAGAAUUUCGCUCUGUUGCCAGGCUGGAGUACAGUGGUGCGAUCUCAGCUUGCUGCAACUUCCAACUCCUGGAUUCAAGCGAUUCUCCUGCCUCAGCCUCCCGAAUAGCUGGGACUACAGGCAUGCGCCACCACGCCCAGCUAAUUUUUGUAUUUUUAGUAGAGACAGGGUUUUACCACAUUGGCCAGGAUGGUCUCAAUCUCUUGACCUCAUGAUCUGCCCACCUCAGCCUCCCAAAGUGCUGGGAUUACAGGUGUGAGCCACUGCACCCGGCCCUGGUUAAAUUUUAAAAAUUACUUACAGUAGACUGUCUGGAAAUAAUUUAAAUGUUCCUUUAAUUUUUCUGUAUAGUCUGAGAAUAAGAGUAGUCAAGGAUGACUUAUAAAGACAAAAUAUGCACACAUCCUUCAACCUAGCAAUCCUAAUCUCUAGAAAGGAAAGAAUUACAGACACAAUACUGCCACAGUAAGUUUUAUUUCAGCAGUAAAAAUUUGGAAAUAAUCUAUAUUUCCAACAAUAAUCCUGGUCAUAUAAAUUAUGGUUUAUCCAUAUGAUGAAAUACAGUUUGGCCAUUAAAAAUGACAUUAAGUAAAAAUGACAUUAUUAGAGAUUUACUGACACGAGAAAAUGUUCAUGAUAUAGUGUUAAUGAAAAAGCAGAUUACAAAACAGUGUAUAGUAUAUGAUUUAAUUUUUGUGCUUAUAUACGUGUAUGUAAAAACAUAUCUAUGUUAUGUGCACACGAAGCAAGUAAGGAAGAUUUAGAAAACUGUAUACUAAGGGGUUAACAGUAUUUGUCACUCAAGGGUAGAAUUAUGCGUGAUUUUUAUUUUCUUCUAUUGUGUUACCUGCAUUAAACAUUUUGUACAAUAAAAAAAAAAAAAAAAAAAAAAA
rnacentral:lncRNA from 1 species